UUCUGCCAACGAUUCAUCUUCAGAAGACAAGCAGAUGAGGAGACAAAACCUACUGAUGUGGGUACCCAAGCAGGAACCCCCCUCUUGCACCGGCGACUCAAGUGGGAAGAAGAAUUCACUGAGUUGAAAUGGAGUGAGAACUACGAUGCUCUCAGAAUAUCUUUAAAAUGUGCUGCAAAGAAGCCUGGGUGAGUAGAAGAAAAUAAAAGGAAUGGUGGAUACAAGGAAAGGUUAAAAUGAGAGCCCGUUUAUCGCACUAGCUGCUGGUGAUUUGAGCGCUCCUUUCCAAGCCUCUUGAGAGUUCCGCUCUAACAACACUGCCCCCUAGUGUUCUCUCGCUUUGGUGCAAUUGCAGGUUUCUCAUACUUCAUGGAGAAAUAGAAAGGACCAGAUGACAGCCACCACACAUUUUUGUCCCCAUUGCUAUAAGAUGCUUCUAACCAUCGUAAAAUUAUGAAACACUGAAUUCCUUAAAAGUUGUCCACUUGCGGAUUUAUCUGAUGGUAACUAUUAAAUAUUUAAAAGUAACUUUAAUGAAUCUACUUGUGAUGAUUGUGUGAGUAAUCUAUUCUCUGAAUUCCACCAAAAAACCAUUUUAUGACCAAAGUCAUAACGAACAUAUUUCUAUAGUCCUAAGCUGGCAAGAUAAAUAGAGAUCUGCUUAUAAUAUAAACAACAUA